UCAUUAGAUUGAAGAUCACGGCGACAUCACCAUAACCAGAGCUGUUAUUCCUAAAAGCUCUAAUCCAAUCUCUAUUCCCGUCCUUUGGUAAAAGAUUCUUCCCCACUUCCAGAAUCCAUUACUAGUAACUGCAAAUUAAAUUCAAGAACACUAAUUAACAAAUGAACUAAAGGGAAAACACGGUUCAACAAUCAUGGAUGAAAAAUAAUAAACUUUCCACAACAAAAAUCUAAACCUAUUACUUAAAAAAUGGAACCUCAAUCUCAGAUAUUCAAGAUAGAAUGAAAAACAAACCCAAUCUUCACAUGCAGAUUACUCAAACAUUGAGAAAAACAAUAUUCCUCAAAUGAUCACGAUGAGUUCAAAAUGAACAGUAUCAUCAAGAAUCACACACAUGUAAGAUGCAAAGAAAUAAGCCAUUUUCAAUUAUCAUAAAAUUGCAAGCAAGUGAAAACAAUUCAAAAGAGAUUAAAAAAAUCAAAACUUUAUAAGAAUCCAUAAAAAGUAACUCCAGAAAAUAGUCUUGACCUUCCUAACUAAAUUUAGCAGAGUGAAAGAACAAUUACUUGCCAGGAACUUUGUUAGUGAUUACUAAUAAUUCCACUAAGCCUGUUAGUUUAAAACAACUUGAUUUGUCAAAC
rnacentral:lncRNA from 1 species